UCCUCGAUGGCAGGGAGCCCGGCGCCAGUCUUGUACUGGGCUGUCCGCACCACCUUCUGUAGCGCCAUGUGAUUGAGGCCGGUGCUGUUGCCAUGCCAAGCAGUGAUGCAGCCAGUAAAGAUGCUCUCAAUGGUGCAGCUAUAGAACUUUUUGAGGAUCUGAGGGCCUGUCAUGCCAAAUAGUGUCCCCCUGCCAAAAAGGGCCCACCCCUGCGUCACAAUGAUAUUCAAUAGCUUCCGUUGCUGGGGCUUUUGCUAGAACUUGCAAAAUCCUUACCUCAGAAUCGCUCUCCAAGGACGGUGUUUUUGACGGUGAUUACCUGCUCACUAGCUACCGCUUCAGGAGACCGAAAAGACUGUGAAGUACUCUGAAGGCACCACUGAUCUCGACAAGGGGCGCAACAUUCGUUGCGGGCAGAGAAAUUCACAAUUCGGGUUAAAGUUAAGCAGGACCUAGGGGUUCUGCCCAACACCUAGACAUGGAUCCACCUGAUGUCCUCC